UGUCCCUUUGUGGAGGAUGGCAACAGCUAAUGUCUGGCAAGAGCAGUGGAGGAAGAAAUUGCUGCAGGUUCAGGUGGGAGAGUGAGUCACCUUGAGGCUGGCACCGCUGAUGAGAGCUUGGUACUGAUUUGCUCUCCAGCCCCAAUUCCUUGGCCAGGGUACUGAUGCAAAGAAGAUGGCAGAAAUGAUCAAGCGGUGAGACAUUCCUGGCAUAAUCUGUCCGAGCCUAUUCACUGAGGGAGCCUGUGAUACUACAGUGUUAAGGGGUCAGCAUGGAAACCCCCCAAAGCAAAAUCAUGGAAGAAAUAGACCACUUGGCUGAAGUGAUAAAUGCUGAGAAAAUAAAGCUUUCACAAAAUUCA